GACGAACGCUGGCGGCGUGCUUAACACAUGCAAGUCGAACGGAGUGGCGAACGGGUGAGUAACACGUGGGUGACCUUCCCUGCCCUUCGGGAUAAGCCUGGGAAACUGGGUCUAAUACCGGAUAGUGUGGUAUGGGCGCGCGGCCUAUCAGCUUGUUGGUGGGGUAAUGGCCUCCAAAGGCGGCGACGGGUAGCCGGCCUGAGAGGGUGGACGGCCACAUUGGGACUGAGACACGGACCAGAGUGCAACGGGAGGCAGCAGUGGGGAAUAUUGCACAAUGGGCGGAAGCCUGAUGCAGCGACGCCGCGUGGGGGAUGACGGUCUUCGGGUUGGAAACUCCUUUCACCAUCGACGCGGUAGAUGGAGAAGAAGCACCGGCUAACUACGUGCCAGCAGCCGCGGUAAUAC
rnacentral:rRNA from 1 species